rnacentral:rRNA from 1 species
UACAGAGGGUGCAAGCGUUGUUCGGAAUUAUUGGGCGUAAAGGGCGCGUAGGCGGCCUGGCAAGUGGAAGGUGAAAUCCCUCGGCUUAACCGAGGAACUGCCUCCCAAACUGCUUGGCUUGAGAGCAGGAGAGGUGAGUGGAAUUCCCAGUGUAGCGGUGAAAUGCGUAGAUAUUGGGAGGAACACCAGUGGCGAAGGCGGCUCACUGGACUGGUACUGACGCUGAGGCGCGAAAGCGUGGGGAGCAAACGGG